GUAGCCGGGCGGCCUCCCACCUCACUUUUGAGAACGCCGACUCGACUGAGGGAAUGAGAACUUUCUUGAGAAUGUCCCGACAAAGUUUGUCGUAUCUCCCAUCUAAUCCAGGGAGGAACUGAAAUAAUCGGUGAUUUCCGAUCAGUUUUCGGUGCUUAUUCAUCCCUUCUUCAUUGCAGUUGAUUGGAUUUGGGUCUCUUCGACCCAUUCUGUGGAUUCUGUUUGGAUUUGGGUUAUUUGAAUCUGUUUGGUUUAUGGUUUCAAUCUCUCCUGGCAUUUUUUUUUCAGGAAAUGAAGAACAGAGGCUGCCUUGAUUUGGUGAAUUGGCUAAGAAAGGUUUUGGUUUGGGAUUAUGAACGAUGAUGAUUUGUUUCUGAGUUCCUAGGAUUGAACCUGCUCUGAUACCAUGUUAAAACAUGGUAUUAUCAUAAUGCAUAGAGAAAGAUAA
rnacentral:lncRNA from 1 species